CGCUAGCGGCAGGCCUAAUACAUGCAAGUCGAGGGGUAACAGGAAGUGCUUGCACUUCGCUGACGACCGGCGCACGGGUGAGUAUCGCGUAUACAAUCUGCCUCAUACUAGGGAAUAGCCCGAAGAAAUUUGGAUUAAUGCCCUAUAGUAUCUUUUUAAGGCAUCUUAUUAAGAUUAAAGGUUACGGUAUGAGAUGAGUAUGCGUUCUAUUAGCUAGUAGGUGUGGUAACGGCACACCUAGGCUACGAUAGAUAGGGGCCCUGAGAGGGGGAUCCCCCACACUGGUACUGAGACACGGACCAGACUCCUACGGGAGGCAGCAGUAAGGAAUAUUGGUCAAUGGACGAAAGUCUGAACCAGCCAUGCCGCGUGCAGGAUGACUGCCCUAUGGGUUGUAAACUGCUUUUAUAUAGGAAGAAAAACUUUCUCGUGAGAAAGCUUGACGGUACUAUAAGAAUAAGGAUCGGCUAAC
rnacentral:rRNA from 1 species